rnacentral:rRNA from 1 species
AGAGUUUGAUCCUGGCUCAGAUUGAACGCUGGCGGCAUGCCUUACACAUGCAAGUCGAACGGCAGCGGACCUUCGGGUGCCGGCGAGUGGCGAACGGGUGAGUAAAGUAUCGGAACGUACCUUUCAGUGGGGGAUAACGUAGCGAAAGUUACGCUAAUACCGCAUAUUCUCUGAGGAGGAAAGCAGGGGACCUUCGGGCCUUGCGCUGAUGGAGCGGCCGAUAUCAGAUUAGCUAGUUGGUGGGGUAAAGGCCUACCAAGGCGACGAUCUGUAGCGGGUCUGAGAGGAUGAUCCGCCACACUGGGACUGAGACACGGCCCAGACUCCUACGGGAGGCAGCAGUGGGGAAUUUUGGACAAUGGGCGAAAGCCUGAUCCAGCCAUGCCGCGUGAGUGAAGAAGGCCUUCGGGUUGUAAAGCUCUUUCGGCCGGGAAGAAAUCGUGUGGGCUAAUACCCUGCAUGGAUGACGGUACCGGAAUAAGAAGCACCGGCUAACUACGUGCCAGCAGCCGCGGUAAUACGUAGGGUGCGAGCGUUAAUCGGAAUUACUGGGCGUAAAGCGUGCGCAGGCGGUUUGGUAAGACAGGCGUGAAAUCCCCGGGCUCAACCUGGGAACUGCGCUUGUGACUGCCUCACUAGAGUACGGCAGAGGGGGGUGGAAUUCCACGUGUAGCAGUGAAAUGCGUAGAGAUGUGGAGGAACACCGAUGGCGAAGGCAGCCCCCUGGGCCGAUACUGACGCUCAUGCACGAAAGCGUGGGUAGCAAACAGGAUUAGAUACCCUGGUAGUCCACGCCCUAAACGAUGUCAACUAGUUGUUGGGGGGGUAAAACCCUUUAGUAACGUAGCUAACGCGUGAAGUUGACCGCCUGGGGAGUACGGCCGCAAGGUUAAAACUCAAAGGAAUUGACGG